rnacentral:tRNA from 1 species
UUAUAUUUUAAUGUAGCUUGCAUGUAAAUUUUUGAGAUUUAAAGUUUUAAUUUAUAUUAAAAAAUGUA